rnacentral:lncRNA from 1 species
UAAUAAACAGUUUUCGAAUGAUGAAAAAAAAAAUAAUGGUAUAAAAUACUCAGUAACCAGUAAGCAAAAUUUCAAUGGAGGCAUUCUGCUCACUGUGCUUAUAGAUUUCUGGAGGCUCUGGCUGUAGCAUAUGACUUGUUUCUGGACCAAGAGGGCUGACUCCAGAGAAGGUGUAAGAGCCGUGAGUUGCACACCAGUGAUUCCCUCCACUAUGCAGUGCUGCCUCCUAUGCAGAAGAUGAUCUGGAGGCUACCAGAAGGUUGGAGAAGUCGGCUAGAACAAAGCCUCUGUUGAUUAUUCUGUAUGCAGCUUUCCAUCUAGUUCCCCAGCAAAAUGUGGAAACUGUGGCAGCCUAUGUCUUUGCUGGAAAUGGGUACAAGAUAUGAUUCAAUGUGAACUGGUCUUCUCCAAACUUCCCCCACAAAGCUGAGGCCAGAGAGAUGGGGAAACCAAGAGCUCUGCUGUAGCCAGAUGGCCUAGGAUGGGCCUCAGGGCAGAGCGUCUGCUUGGAGGGCACCAAGAGCAAGGCAGAGCAGAUCCAGAAGGAAAGUCCUGACAACUGAUCAGAAGCACUUUGGUGGACCAGAAUGAGGGACACAGAAUCAGCAAACAACAGAUAAAAUUCAGCCAGAUGACCGUAGCAAAGUAGCCAUGAUCGGGGAUGACAAUAAAACGAGACAGAGAAUGCCACAGUGGAGAAAUGAAGCUCCCUCCCCAGGAUUCCGCCAAGAAUGAAGUGCUGGUUCAGGCAGGUUCCUAGCAUUAGUGAUGUCUGACAGCUGGAAACAGGGAGUUAGUUUGGGAUGAAUCUCAGUUACAGAGAGCAGGGGCAAGGUAGGGCCCCAGUUCAGGGGAACAGGGGGGGAUCAUUAUUCUACUUAGAUAAGUAGAAUGUUGGAGGUGAGCCCUGUUUUCCUCAUCUGGCUUGCUGCAGGUGCUUCUAGAGUAGUGCUCCACAAGUUCUCUAGCUGAGUAUAGGCAGAUGGGUUGGAUUUGAGGGUGUGGGUGGCAAAAGUAAUAAAAAGACCAUUUACUGCAUAUUAAAACCCACAGUCUCCAAACCUGCUUUUCAACGAUGAAGGUAAUAUUUGGGUAUUUAUUGCUUCCAUUUCAGCAUCUACUCAAGUGGUUCUAAAAUUGAAGUUGGAAAAAAAUAAAUAAAAUUGAAGUUGGAGAAUUGAUUAGUCAUCAACCUUAAUAUCCCAGCAGGAGAAGACAUGGGUUAAGUUUCUAAACUAGAUUUCAAGGGCACAGCAGGCCAGUAGGAGAAAGUCAAGUCGGGCUGACUUUUUCUGUGGGAGAAAACAUGCUUGCAUUACUGCAUGACUGGGCCCAGACUUAAUCUCAAGAGCUUGCAGCAGGGCAGAGCCCAAAAUGUGGGAUCAGGGAGUCCCUGCUAUGGAGAGGGAGAUGGCAGGGGGGCUCAAAGAUAGACAGGACACGAGUGUAAUUUCAGAAUAACAGAUCACCCAUAUAUACAGAGUAAUAUCUCCAAGAAUUUCUCAUAAGCAAAUUUUUCUUUGUGUUUCUGCACAGUGAUCCAGCAUCUCUUCCAUAGGAAUGAAUUAAGGCCUAUUUACUCUCCCCAUCAUGACUGUUGCUACAUGCAUUGUGUCACCUGUCAAGUUGAGUUCAGGGUCAUAUUCAGUCUCAGU